UCUAUUCUGCCCUAUGAUAUUUAAUGGCCGCGGUAUUUUAACCGUGCAAAGGUAGCAUAAUCAUUUGUCUUUUAAUUGAAGGCUUGUAUGAAUGGUUGGACGAGAUUUAUACUUUCUUUAUUUAAUAAAUUGAAUUUGAUUUUUUUGUUAAAAAGCAUAAAUUUUUAUAUAGGACGAUAAGACCCUAUAGAACUUUAUUUUACUUUAUAAAAAGUAAUAUUUGUUUAUAUUAAUAUUUUUUAUAAGUUAGAAUUUAAUUGGGGUGAUUUUGUAUAAUAAUUAACAUACAAUUUUCUUUGUUCAUUAUUUCGUGUAUUAUUGAUCCAUAAAUAUUAUGAUUAUAAGAUUAAGUUACUUUAGGGAUAACAGCGUAAUUUUUUAAA
rnacentral:rRNA from 1 species